AUCAUCUUUCAGCUCAUAUAAGGUAAAAGUAAAAGGUUUUCCAGACUUUAAGCAGUGAGGAAAGAGGACCACUUGUGCUAGCCGCUUAAAAGAGGAGUGGCGGCUCGGAUGUCCCAGUAGCCCCUGUAAAGUUUGAGCAGAUGAAAAGGUCCCCAUCUUCUCCAUCCACUCCAUGGGCCUGGCAUACGACAGGUAUGGGCAGGAAUUUCCACCUGUUGAAAGCAGGAAGGGCUCUGACAUGUGAAUGAGAGGCAGAAGCGUUGUGGAGAAGAGUGGAGAGUCAGCCUUCAAAGGAACAGAAACAGAGGAGCAGAAAACAAGUUCCAGUUUACCUAUACACAGUGGGGAGACUUCGACUGUUGUUUGCUCAAAACGUUACUUUCGUUCAGUCAUUUUUACUUCGUAUCUUUCAAUAUGACAUGAAGUCAGGAUAUCAUUGUUCAUAGGCUAGCUAUUGAGAUGUAAGAAGUAUAAUACUGAUCUUGUUCCCGGGCAUUAUUUUUACUUUUGCUUGUUUUUUUGUAUGCUGCUCAUAUGAACACCAACAAAUCCCUCCAUUGACUCAUGCUGAACUCAUACUUUAAUAUAUAGAUACACAUAUUCAGCACAGUCCAUCUUAUAUGAGCAGCUUUGUAAUAAUUGUUUUGAGCAUGGUAUAAUAAAUAUCUUGCUGAGCUCAAACUAAAAAAUUGAACCAGAUCCCAGAGGUGGGGUGGGAUGGGGGAAAUGCUGUAACCAGUUAUUUCCUGGUUUAUAAACUUCCUUCUUUCCUAGGCGUACCUUCCUAGCAGAAGACUUUUAAGUAGGAUGAUCUGACUGUAGUCUGAGGUGAGCUUUCUUCCUGCCUGCUUCUGUCCUGGACCCUUUGGCCCAAUUCAACUGAAGGAUCCCAGUUCAGAAGAUGGUUUAAGCCUUCAGCUAAAUAGAAACUUUUCUCAGGUUCACAGUGAUUUUCACACAGGGCUUUCUCUCUCACAUUUCAUUGAGUUCCAUCAACGUCCACAUCCACCUCACAUCAUAGUUAUGUGAAUCAGCCAACUUAACCAGGUUUUUAGGUCAGCUACCUGUGUGGCUGUAGCAGAUGACUUUCCUAAAAAUCACCAUUGCAUCUGAUCCCACUGUAUCAGUAUCAGAACCAACUUCUUUCGUUGUAAUAGAUUUGUCUAAAGCAA